GCACUCACUUCGGCAGCAUGUGUAUUAAAAUUGGAACGAUGCAGAGAAGAUUAGCCUGGCUCACGCAUAAGGAUAGCACACAAAUUCAUGAAGCGUUCCAUAUUAAA
ensembl:snRNA U6 U6 spliceosomal RNA